AGUGAACGCUGGCGGUAGGCCUAACACAUGCGAGUCGAACGGCAGCACAGUAAGAGCUUGCUCUUACGGGUGGCGAGUGGCGGACGGGUGAGGAAUACAUCGGAAUCUACUUUUUCGUGGGGGUUAACGUAGGGAAACUUACGCUAAUACCGCAUACGACCUACGGGUGAAAGCAGGGGAUCUUCGGACCUUGCGCGAUUGAAUGAGCGGAUGUCGGAUUAGCUAGUUGGCGGGGUAAAGGCCUACCAAGGCGACGAUCCGUAGCUGGUCUGAGAGGAGGAUCGGCGACACGGGAGCUGGGACACGGUCAAGGCUCCUACGGGAGGCAGCAGUGGGGAAUAUUGGACAAUGGGCGCAAGCCUGAUCCAGCCAUACCGCGUGGGUGAAGAAGGCCUUCGGGUUGUAAAGCCCUUUUGUUGGGAAAGAAAAGCAGCAGGUUAAUACCCCGCUGUUCUGACGGUACCCAGAGAAUAAGCACCGGCUAACUUCGUG
rnacentral:rRNA from 1 species